CGGAAGCCGCCUCGGGUUUUCUAGCGGAGCGCCGGAUUAGGCAGUCCCCGCCCCGGUGCCCCUGAUUGGGUAGGGCCUCAGGCCCCGCCCCCUCAGACUCUUAGUGACAGGUGACAGCUCCCGCGCGUGUCUGAAUGAGGCAGCGUUCUGGCUACAGCUCUUCUCCAAGAGGGUUUCCUCUCUGGGUUGGGACCCAGCCUUGCCUAGGGGACAUUCAUUUAUAUACACUUAACCUUGUAUAGCACCUAUCAACCCAUCACCUAGGUAUUAAGCCCAGCAUGCAUUAGCCAUCUCCUCUUUGACUUUUAACAUGAAAUUCUCAUGAUCAUUUUAUGUUAUCAAUGACCAGUCAUAGGUUUUAAAAUGCUGGCUGUUACUUGUGUAUAAUAAAUUUUUCCCAUCAUUAUUCAUAAUUAUGUAAAUACCUGGGACUUACAAUAUUUAGAAUAGUCCGAGGUGAAAGCCAACAUAAGGAUGAACUUGAUCUGCAUUAUCUGUUUCCUGAGAGGGCUCGGGAGCUUCACCCUAUUAUCUUCCAGUAGUAGCAUGAUCAUCUGCACUGUAGCUUAUUUCAGUGUGACCCAGACGAAUUCAAUUUACCGAGUGUCGGUGACUUCUUCUCCUGUCUCAGCCUCCCGAGUAGCUGGGAUUACAGGCAUGCGCCACCACACCUGGCUAAUUUUGUAUGUUUUAGUAGAGACGGGGUUUCUUCCUGUUGAUCAGGCUGGUCUCGAACUCCCGACCUCAGGUGAUCUGCCCGCCUCCGCCUCUCAAAGUGCUGGGAUUACAGGCGUGAGCCACUGUGCCCAGCCUCAAAUUCUUUUAAUAUAUCCCACAAAAAAAGAGAUUUGUCCUAUUCCUUCUCAUUCUAGCAUUCUAGUCUUCAUAGAUAUAUGUAUUUGUUUUAUGUUUUCUUUUUUUGAGAUGUAGUCUUGGAGUGUCGCCUGGGCUGGAGUGCAAUGGUGCAAUUUUGGCUCACUACAACCUCCGCCUCACAGGUUCAAGUGAUUCUUCUGUCUCAGCCUCUGGAAUAGCUGGGAUUACAGGCGCCUAUCACCAUACCCAGCUAUUUUUUUGUAUUUUUAGUAGAGACAGGGUUUCACUAUGAUGGCCAGGCUGGUCUGGAUCUCCUGACCUCAUGAUCCGCCCACCUCAGCCUCCCAAAGUGCUGGGAUUACAGGCGUGAGCCACCGGGCCUGGCUGUUUUUUUUUUUUUUUUUUUUAACAAAUAUUUUAGUCUUAUUUGUAAAUCAUUUAUACAUAUUCACACGAAGAAAAAUAAAUUUCAGAAUGGAAUCUUGGGACCAUUGUAGUUAAAAAAAAUAUAUAUAUAUAUAUAUAUUUCUGAUCAUUAGCCACUUGAAGACAAGGCAAGAGGCUUAGCAGUCAUUUCUAGGGGUUAGUGUAUCUCCCCAUGCAAGGGACAAUUGAGAAGAAUCCAAGCUGCUCCCUCAUCUUCCCUCAAUUUUAACCUUCUGGAGACAAUAUGGGGGAAGGGGAUUUUCCAGUGCUUUCCCCUAGAAACAUUGCAAGAGGUACAGCCAAGUCUUACGGUAACACUGAACCUGCUCUUUGCUAGCAAUUUAGCAAGUUUGCAACCUGUGAACCAACCUACUAGAAGAGUUAGCCUAAUUCCUAUUCACAGGUACUUCUAAGAGGAGGAGGGAUUGCUGCACUCAUCACACCCGCUUCCCACUUGCUCUGUUCUCCCACCAAGGCCCCAGAACAGAGCUCUUGAUCUCAUCUGAUCUAGUCCCUCCCCGCUCCCACCCAGCCUCAUUUCACAAGUGAACCUUCCUCCCACCCCACACUCAGACAGACACUCUGUAACUGUUGGCCCUGGCAGCUCCUGAGGACUGCUGGGAUGAUGACACAGCAUUUUUGCAUCAGCAUCGUACUCACAGGGACUCGGAGCUCAGCCAGGAGAGGUCCAAGAAUGACGGAACUCUAGAACCCCUACCAAAACUCAGCUCUGCAGAGCCAAAUAAACAAUUCAACCCAACAGGCCAACUCCUAACAUCCCAUCCCAGACAGUCAUCACUGGAGGCGCGCAGUAGAUGAACCUCCUACUUGCACUGAACCAUUACCAAUUCCCAGUAACAGUGGGGGAAAGGACAGACAUGACAAAUGUGGUAGACCCUAUCAGAAAUGGUAGCUGAUGACAACAGUUAGCCUAGAUCACUGGGUCCUAUCCAAAAAGAACGGGCAUGAUGAGCAGAGGGCUCUGUAGCUGGAUGUACAGCCCUUAAAUUACUAAGGGACUCAGAGAAAACAAGCCUUGUUUUCCUACGAUUAUCUAGGAACUGGAACACGGACUACCCACCCCUAUGUUGAGGCAGCUUCUGACAGGCCUUACUGCUUACGGUCAUCGGUCAUCAGCCCACCCGCUUGGUAGGUGCAUUUGGGGGGAGGGACUCACAUCACAUCCAGAGGGGGGACCCAUCUAGGCGGACACCACAGGGCAGCCCAUCCCACUGUCACUGGGGCAGGCCAAACACGGUUAGCAGGGCGGACUGAUUCCAGCCAUCAGCCGCCCUACAGGCGUCGCUCUGGCCUAACACAGAAUGCGAAAUGCAGGGUGCUCCAAGUGUUCUCCGACAUGGCACCUCCUUCACCCCGAGGGCCCCGGCUUUUCUUCCACAUGUUCAGGGCCUCCAGAAAGUGCUCUGCAGCCUCCCAGUGAGCCCCAGGUUAUAGCCUCCCAGUGAGCCCUGCAGCUGAUGCCCAGGUUAUAGCGGGACUGGAUAUAGCCAGGCUGGAGCUCAAGGGCCUGGCAGUAUGAAGUUACUGCUUCUUCACUCUGGUUUUCCUUCCACAGCAAAUAGUCAUUGGGAUGAACACUGAAGGUAGCUGUGAAGCAGUUCAUGGCCUUGUCGUAUUCUCCACUCAGGUUGAAAAGGACCUGCAAGCCACACUGCACAUCAGGGUCCAUGGAUGUAGGGUCCAGUUGCACAGUUGCUAGGAAGAGCUCUUUCAUUUCAAGAAACAGGGAGUCAGACAACAGAGAUCCCAAGAUAUGCUUGCUGGCGCCCAGUCCUGCCCCGCCAGCCCCUUCUUCAGCAGGUGUCACCAGAUAGCCACAGGCUGGUGUGUGGCAGGGUUUCACAGGCCUGUCACUGCAGAGGCUCAUUGGUAAAGCCUGCAGCCGGGGCCAUCAGUGCUUAUCUGGCUUUAGCUCCAGACACCUCUGCAAUGCUCUGAUGGCUCACAGUUCUUGUUCAUUCUCUGCCUGGUUGGUACCCAGAUACGGCCAAGCUUCCAUGUGCUUAGGAUCCUGCUGCAUAGCUGCCUCAAAAAGCA
rnacentral:lncRNA from 1 species